CGAAAUGUAUAGACUGUUAGCAAUCAGAAUGGCUACUCAACAAGAGUAUGAGGACAUACUGCUGUACAAGACUGCUGCCAGCAAUGCUGGCCAGAAGAAAUACAGAGACGGGCUUUCCACUAAUGACAAGAGAAGUAUAAGAGACAAAGUUCAAAGAUAUGCUCUGCAGCAACAAUGCUUAUACCUGCCUGAGAAGGACAGCACUGGCAUGCAUAGAAUGAGAAGAGUUAUGGUGAAGCAAGAGGAUAAAAGCAGGAUACUAAACAUGUGCCACGAUGGACUGGAUGGAAUGCAUUUUGGGAGAGACAAGACCUAUGGAAAGGUUGCUCAGGAUUUCUACUGGAAAGGCCUACAUGCUGACGUCAUACAGCUCUGCAAGCACUGCGACAAAUGCCAAUGAACGAAUCACCAACUGCAGAAGCCCAGAGCAGAACUACAUCCCAUCCCUGUGACAAAGGCAUGGGUGGCCAAAAGUGAUUCAAUCAGACCAAGGAAGAGAGUUUGUCAACGAAAUCAACACCCGACUUUUUCAGUUGACUGACAUACAGCACUGCGUAUCAAGUGCUUACCACC